UAAAACCAUAAAUCUUACCCAAAAACCCUAAACCCUAAACCCUAAACCCUACACCCUAAAUCCUAAACCAUAAACU
rnacentral:sRNA from 1 species